AGAGUGCGUAAUAGCUCACUAGUCGAGAGGUCCUGCGCCGAAAAUGUCCGGGGCUAAAACACAACACCGAAGCUGUGGACUCACGUAGUGAUUGGUAGAGGAGCAUUCUUAAGACCGACGAAGCUGUACCGGAAGGAGCAGUGGAGGGAUAAGAAGAGAGAAUGCCGGAAUGAGUAGCGAGAGAAAGGUGGGAAUCCUUUCGGCCGAAUAUCUAAGGUUUCCAGAGUAAAGCUGAUCUGCUCUGGGUAAGUCGGGGCCUAAGCACAGGUCGCAAGACGUAAGCGAUGGAUAACAGGUUUAGAUUCCUGUACCACGCAUUAUCAGAACUGUAGGGACGCAUGUGGAAAGCACGAGCCGGGAAUGGAAAGACCGGUACAAGCGGGGUAGGAGUACAAUAGGCAAAUCCGUUGUAUGAUCCGAAGACGUGAUGUGGAGCGAAAUAAAGUAGUGAAGCGUGUGAGCCAUGUGCCGAGAAAAGCUGCUAUUGUGUAAUGCGUGCCCGUACCGUAAACCGACACAGGUGGAUGAGGAGAGAAUCCUAAGGCCGACGGAAGAAGCAUUGUUAAGGAACUCGGCAAAAUGACCCCGUAACUUCGGGAGAAGGGGUGCCUGCGAGAGCAGGCCGCAGAGAAUAGGCUCAAGCAACUGUUUAGCAAAAACACAGGUCUAUGCGAAACCGAAAGGUGAAGUAUAUGGGCUGACGCCUGCCCGGUGCUGGAAGGUUAAGAGGAGAGGUUAGCGCAAGCGAAGCUUUGAAUUUAAGCCCCAGUAAACGGCGGCCGUAACUAUAACGGUCCUAAGGUAGCGAAAUUCCUUGUCGGGUAAGUUCCGACCCGCACGAAAGGCGUAAUGAUUUGAGCACUGUCUCGACAAUGCAUCCGGUGAAAUUGAAGUACCAGUGAAGAUGCUGGUUACCUGCGCCAGGACGGAAAGACCCCAUGGAGCUUUACUCCAGCUUGAUACUGGGAUUCGAUACUGUAUGUACAGGAUAGGUGGGAGACGUUGAACAUAGAACGCCAGUUUUAUGUGAGUCGCUGUUGGGAUACCACCCUUGCAGUAUUGGAUUUCUAACCUGCACCCAUGACCUGGGUGGGGGACAAUGUCUGGCGGGGAGUUUGACUGGGGCGGUCGCCUCCGAAAGGGUAUCGGAGGCGCUCAAAGGUUCCCUCAGAAUGGUUGGAAACCAUUCGAAGAGUG
rnacentral:rRNA from 1 species